CUUCAAUAGGUGAAUGGAUUAGUAAACUAGUAUUUAAACACAAUUGAAAAUUAUUCAGCAAUAAAAAAGAAUGAACUAUUGAUACGGUUAGGUUUUGUGUCUCCACCUAAAUCUCAUCUUGAAUUGUAAUCCCCAGGUGUUGAGGGAGAGACCCAGUGGGAGGUGAUUGGAUUACAGGGGCCAUUUCCCCCAUGCUGUUCUCAUGAUAAUCUGAAAGAAACGUACCAUCUAUUCUUCGAAGGCUGCAACCAGUGAGGUUUCAUCUACAUAACAAGACCACCUUUGGCGGCCAGGCCUCCUCUUCUCUCCCUCCCAUUACCUGUUUUGCCAUUAUAACCUGAUUUACCACUAUAACCUGUUUUUGCCUGUGCUCUGGACUCCCAUUCUUUCUGUAACCUCAAGAUGAUAUGUAAGCUUCUGCACCCCAUUGGUGAGUUGAGCAGUCACUCUGUGGUUCUCCCUGUGCUCACAUUAAUAAAAUCUAUAUUCCUUUUCUCCAA
rnacentral:lncRNA from 1 species